GGAAUAUAUUUUAUCUUGAGGUCAAUGGGGAGCCACUGCAGGUUUUAGACAGGGAGACAGCAUGAUCAGAUAUGGGACGAAAGCUGAGCGAGGUUAAGACAGGUAGGGAGGAAAAGAGAAGGGUGAUCAUGUGAUUUCUGCUUCCCAGAGCAGGAAGAAGGGAGGCUUUACCUUGGUCAAGAGGGAAAGGGAUGCUGCAGGACAGAUGGGAACAGAGCUGGCACAUGUGACCUAGAAUGAGCAAUUUGAGCUGGAGGCGGGAGGGGGAGCUUGAGGGGACUUCACAAUGCCUAUGCCUAAUGCAGGGGCUGUGUUGUCUGAGGCAACUUACCGUGGUUCCCUGAACCUCAAGUUCCUCAUCGGUGGAACAGGCUUCAUCACGUACAACCUCCUGGGUCGCUGUGGGAGUUCAGUGAGAUCACCAAUACAUGCAAAGCACUUACGGAGGCCAGCCUGGCACACAAGUGCUCGAGAGCCCCCGAGACUCUCAGUGGGAAAUGAGGCAUCGCCACUAUUUUUAUUAUAACCCUCACUGCUUCGGAGCAGCCUCCCAGCAGGGGGUUACAAACUGGCUCCUGUCAAGGGCGGCUUGAUUGAGGGCACCUACUGGGUGCCCGCUGCUGUGCCACAGUGGUGGAGAAAGGAGCAACAAGACUCAGUUCUCAAUGUCAAUGGAGACAGACAAGCAGACAGAUGUGCGUCACGCAACCCGCUGAAGUGUCUGAGUGUACCAGCCAAGUGGCCUUGGAACCAGCCUGCUAGGGUCUUCAUUUCGCCCGGAACAACAGGAGUCUGGUCCCUGAGCUGGAGCGGAGGUAGCCAAGCCUGGAGGAAGCUGAUGCUGCGCGGACACCUGGCAGGGCACUAGUGCUCCGUGGCUGGCUGUGCCUGUGUCUCUCCUGGGACAGUGUGGAAUCAAGCACCUGUGGGUCCGGCCAAAGUGGUCAUUUGCAUGAAAUUGGAGCAGGUCCUGAAGCCUGAGGGGUCAGAGCUUCGCAAGGAAGAGUGGCGGCCACGUGGUCCUCCCUGACAGCGAGAUGUGGAACCACCGCUGCGGUGGGUUCCCAGUCCGAGGCACAGAGCCGACAGCAAGGGCACCAGUUGGUCCAGACCAUGCUGUCGGAGGGGCUGGCCAUACAGGCUCAGACUCCUGCCUGGCAGACGGAGAACCCUCAGCUGGACACCAUCCCCCUCUGCCUGGGUGGAAGCAAGAAAACUCCAGGAACCCCCUGAACCCCAGAGAGAGGGAGGACCAGGAUCAGAAGGCACUGGGUGAGAAUGAACUACUGGGUUUAUUGACCUUUUUCUCCUGCUGGAGUCUGUAAGUGUUUGUAAGGGACCAAGACCCCUCAGCGCCAUUCUACUCACAUGCACGUGGUCUCUGGACCGUGUGACUCAUUUCAGAUCAAAGCUAACCCAGGAAAGAGCAGAAUCCCUGACCACUGCUGUCACUCCAGAUGACCAGGAAAUGCUGCGGGGGUUUCUUGUUCUGUAGUGACUAAGGAACCACACGACCUAAUGAGUCGGAAAUAAUCCUAUACUUUAAUUAAAAGACAAAUGAUCAUAUAAAAUAGAGCUGUUAUGACUACAGGUGCUGAUAAAGUCAACACAGAGUGGGGAGGGGGUGGCCUAGGGGACCUCCAACCUAGUCCACGGUGGGUGGAGUCCAGAGAGAUGGAAAGAGCUGAGCCUAAGGUGGUGAAGCAGCAGCAGGAAGGGCCCUCCUGGUACAGGGCACGGGCCUGAGCAAAGGCGUCGAGCUGAGAAGCGGCCUGGGUGAUCCAAGGGUUGCUAAGGAAGAGCCAGACAAGCCUCGGCGGCCCAUGAGGCCGAGCUAUGGAACUCAGGUCCUUUCAGCCAGGUCACGAACCUGGGGACAAUGAGAAGGUUGUAAGCCGUGCAGAGACAGAUCUGAUUUUGAGUUUUGCCAACGAUCCUGGUUGGACUAUGGAGGAGGGACUGGGAGGGUGAGGCAAAAAGACAGCGAGAUCACAUAGGAGACGGAGUAGUAAAAGGGAGGAAAGGUUUCCUGUCCCUUGGGGUUGUUUUAUUUUUUAUUGUUUUUUAAAAAGAUUUUAUUUAUUUA